CCUGACUAUAUAAGCUAGCCCGAGAAAAGUAAAGUUUGCUAUUUGAUCAGAAUCCUGUCUUGUGGUCGUUCUUUCUGCAUCUCUUGUCCCCAUUCCCUAUUCCUGACUCUGUUGCUCCAGGUCAGCUGAACACUUUGGAGAAGCAGAUGAGGUUGCUAUCAUGGCCCUGGUGCCCUGUAGGCUGAAGGUGAGCUCUGAGGAAGGAAGAACCCUCCUUGGAGUUGAGGUCAUCCUCUGUCCAGAAGAAGGUGAAAGGUCUAUCUCCCUGGAGAGACUCUGAAAGGCUGAAGCUCUGGAGAUCUGGAUAAGCUCAGGCUGGCGAGAUGGCUCAGAGGUUAAGAACACUGACUGCUCUUCCAGAGGUCCUGAGUUCAAUUCCCAGCAACCACAUGGUGGCUCACAACCAUCCGUUAUGAGAUCUGGUGCCCUCUUCUGGUGUGCAGAUAUACAUGGAAG
rnacentral:lncRNA from 1 species